CCCUACGGGGCGCAGCAGUAGGGAAUCUUCCACAAUGGACGAAAGUCUGAUGGAGCAACGCCGCGUGAGUGAAGAAGGGUUUCGACUCGUAAAGCUCUGUUGGUAGUGAAGAAAGAUAGAGGUAGUAACUGGCCUUUAUUUGACGGUAAUUACUUAGAAAGUCACGGCUAACUACGUGCCAGCAGCCGCGGUAAUACGUAGGUGGCAAGCGUUGUCCGGAUUUAUUGGGCGUAAAGCGAGUGCAGGCGGGUCAACAAGUCUGAUGUGAAAGCCUUCGGCCCAACCGGAGAAAUG
rnacentral:rRNA from 1 species